AAUAUUCUAUUUUCGCUGCUUAUCAUUUGGCUUUAGAAACAUCCUUUCUUGCUGAUGAAGGAGCUUCUCUUCCUGAACUUCCUUUGGAUUCUCCGAUAACUGUGGCACUUCCAGAUAAGCCAUUAACAAUCGACAGAUCCAUCUCAACUAUACCUGGUUUUAUGAUUCCUGCCGAUGAAAGAACUCUAGGGCCGCUAUCUGGCAGUGAGCCACAAAGGUCAAUGAGUGCUCCGCCAACUGGCCUGGUCAAGGCUGUCAGCAAUUGUGCUCAGAAAAUGGGUGUGUUAGAGUCUCCUGGAUUGUGUGCUACUAAAGACAACUUCUCUUCCUUCUGUAAGCCCUCUCUUGAUCAUGAAUCUGAGAUAGGUAUCAUGGAUAUGAUGAAGUGCUCUGAGGUAAAAGCAUCAGUAGCCAACGAUGUCCAAGAUGCCCAUGGAAACAAGUUCCUUUCUACUAGUUUUGGUCCUUCACAGGAGGUUGAUCAAGACAUGUUGUCACAGAGUGUUCAAAAUGAUUGCAAUACUAUGGAUGUGAACCAAGGUGGGGAAGACGCCCCUGAUGAUUUGACUUCUUUGAAGAAAGAGUUCUCUCCAUCUCCAUCCGACAAUCAAAGCAUUUUGGUUUCCUUGUCGUCUCGAUGUGUUUGGAAGGGAACUGUCUGUGAUAAGUCUCGUCUCUUUCGGAUUAAAUACUAUGGCAACGUAGAUAAGCCAUUGGGUCGUUUUCUACGAGACCAAUUGUUUGAUCAAAGUUACAGGUGUCAUUCAUGUGAGAUGCCUUCAGAAGCUCAUGUUCAGUGUUAUACACACCGACAGGGUACUCUAACUAUUUCUGUUAAGAAGCUGCUGGAAGUUCUUUUGCCAGGUGAAAAGGAAGGAAAAAUAUGGAUGUGGCGCAGAUGCCUUAAAUGUCCACGCGAUAAUAAGGGCUUUCCUCCAGCAACUCGGAGAGUAGUAAUGUCUGAUGCUGCUUGGGGCUUGUCCUUAGGGAAGUUUCUAGAACUUAGCUUUUCAAACCACGCAGCUGCAAGUAGGGUGGCAAACUGUGGUCAUUCAUUACAUAGAGAUUGUCUUCGAUUUUACGGCUUCGGAAAGAUGGUUGCUUGCUUUCGCUAUGCAUCCAUUGAUGUUCACUCAGUAUACCUUCCUCCCUCAAAACUGGAUUUCAACUAUGAGAAUCAGGAAUGGAUAGAACAUGAAGUGAAUGAGGUCAUUUUCCGAGCUGAACUUUUGUUCGCUGAGGUCCUUAAUGCAAUUCGGCUUUUGGUAGAGAAGAGAUCUGGGAGACAACUUAACAGCAGCAUUAAUGUACCUGAAGCAAGACGUCAGAUUUCUGAUUUGGAAGGGAUGUUGCAGAAGGAGAAACAAGAAUUUGAGGAAUCUCUCCAGAGAAUUCUGAUGGAGGAAGUUAAAAAGGGGCAGUCUGUUGAUAUUUUGGAGAUCAAUCGAUUGAGAAGACAGCUCCUUUUUCAAUCUUAUGUUUGGGACCACCGUCUAGUAUAUGCAGCCAGUAUGGAUGACAAGAGUCAUUGGUUUAGUGGAGAUGUCACCUCUUUGGAACCUGAGAAACCGUUGGUUUGUGAUGAUAAGUCCACUGACCUGGAUAAUUGUGCUGAUCCCAGCAACUGUCCUAAUAGCUCUGAAUCUGUUCCCGCAAUUUUAAAGGCUGGUGAAAAUGGGGAUGAAGGAAGAAGUGUUGGCCAAAACAGUCACGUGGAUGCUGUUCAUCAAGAAUCUGCAGUUGAUUUUGAUGCUGAUUGUGCAAUCGAAAAACCACCUGGUCUUCCUGUUGCAACAAAAAGUUUCUGCGGAUCACAUCCCGAAGAAUCCAUAUUACAGCGGCGAAGAGCACUAUCCGCUGGGCAGUUCCCAAACAUGGAGAGUUUGUCAGAUACUCUCGAGGCAGCUUGGACUGGUGAAACAACUUCCGGUGUUGUAGUGAUAAAGGGUGAUACCUGUAAAUCUUCUGAACCACAUCUGGUGAAUACACUUACAACUGGAAUGGCUGAAAAAGUGUAUACUGAAGACCAUGCGACUAUGCUGUCUCAAACUCCCUCUCUUUUAGCCUCUAAAGGCUCCGAAAACAUGGAAGACGCUGGGAGCUGGUUAGGUGUUUCUUUUAUUAGCUUCUACAGGACGCUGAACAAAAACUUUUUACCAAGUGCUCAGAAACUGGAUCCACUUGGGGGAUAUAAUCCAGUAUACAUUUCAUCAUUUCGGGAGUCAGAUGCCCAAAGUGGAGCAAGAUUGCUCCUACCUGUUGGGGUUAAUGAUACUGUUAUACCAGUGUAUGAUGAUGAGCCCACGAGUAUUAUAUCUUAUGCUCUAGCGUCUCAUGAUUAUCAUGCUCAACUAUCCGGUGAGCUCGAGAAAUCUAAGGAUGCUUCUUUGGACUCUAACUUUUCGUUCCACUCACUGGAUUCCAGUAAUCUGCACUCCCCUCAAUCAGUUGAUGAAAUGUUUUUAGAAUCCUACAGAAGUCUUGGAUCCAUGGAUGAGAGUCUCUUGUCCUUGCCCAUUUCUCG
rnacentral:misc_RNA from 1 species